rnacentral:rRNA from 1 species
CCAGACUCCUACGGGAGGCAGCAGUGGGGGAUAUUGCACAAUGGGGGGAACCCUGAUGCAGUGACGCCGCGUGGGUGAAGGAGUAUUUCGGUAUGUAAAGCCCUAUCGGCAGGGAAGAAGCAAGACGGUACCUGACUAAGAAGCCCCGGCUAACUACGUGCCAGCAGCCGCGGUAAUACGUAGGGGGCGAGCGUUAUCCGGAUUCACUGGGUGUAAAGGGAGCGUAGACGGCCAUGCAAGCCAGGGGUGAAAGCCCGGGGCCCAACCCCGGGACUGCUCUGGAAACUGCGGCGCUGGAGUACGGGAGGGGCAGGCGGAAUUCCUGGUGUAGCGGUGAAAUGCGUAGAUAUCAGGAGGAACACCGGUGGCGAAGGCGGCCUGCUGGACUGCGACUGACGUUGAGGCCCGAAAGCGUGGGGAGCAAACAGGAUUAGAUACCCCGGUAAG